UGGUGGGGCUUGGACAUCUCUAUCAGUGGAUGCAACAUUUAAUCACCUUUGAGAGGUGGAAUAAAUGUUGCAAAGAGCUUUUUUUGUCGAACAAUGAGUUGAUGCUUCCGCUAUUGGAGCUUGGAAAUGGAUUUCUGUUCUUCAAUUGAAGCAUGUCAUCUACAACAAAUUUCAGUGAGGAACUAAAGCUGAUUGGAGUUCACAUUGGCCUUGUCUUCAUGGAAGUCUCCAAAUAUCUCUGCUAGAGGUGGGACUGUGACACCUCCCCUCUCUCCAAGACUGUAAACUGUCUGUGCAGAGAACAAUGUCUCAACGUAUUCAGCUUGUCACAGCUGCUAAGAAGAACAUCUGUUUGAGAAUGAGGAUGAUGAUAGUGGCACACAAUUCAAAGGGAAGCCUCAUAACCAUUUGGAUUGGUGGCUUGACACCACUGGAAGGUAACAAUCCAUUGGCACUCUACAUAGCCUCAAAAUCUCUUAAUACAUAAGGAGAAGAUGCCAAAAGGAAAAGGACAAAUUUAUAUAUGGAUGGUGGUGCAUGAAGGACUCACUGGUCUCUUUUAAUUCAAGCGAGUCUUCCACAAUUCCAGUUGGGUACACAAGCAAAAGAGAAUUGUUUUCCAUGCCAUUUGUGAGUGUCUGAGCCACCAUGACAACGCUGUUAUGCUGUUUGAGCCCUUCAAUGUUCCAGAGACAAAUGUUGGCCAGUUAUGGAUGGCUGAUGAAUAUGAAAAGGGUUAUCUCAAUUGCAUCACCAACCUUAGCCCUCAGUUUUUGUUAUUGGUCACAACCAUUCUUUCUAUUCAGGCUUAUGCUUUUGAUCCCUUUAUUGUUUAUUACUUCUCAAUCAGUUUGUUAAAAAAGUGUUAUACUUUGCUUGCAAUGUUGAUUUUUUUAUUCCUAUGUGUAGUCUAUAGCUGAGAGUUGAGUGAGGAGCAUAUACUGCUGAAUCAGUAAAACAUGAGUUUGGUUAAUUCCCAUCUUUGAAGCUUCUCAAGCUCGGGAACCUAAAUGCUUUGCAAUGACCAUUGAAGGUAGCACUAUUCUUCUCAUAUCUGAAGUAGCCAGACUCAAUAGUUUGAAAAAGUACUUUGAAAGGGAGUACCAUUGCAAGAUAGAAUACUAACACUUUGGUGAGGAGCACAUAUUGUACGAAAUCAUAAGAAAAUUUGGUUUCCCCACUUUUCUAAAUUUUCUUGAGCAUGGGAAUCCAAAUACUCUGAAAUAUACUGAUAGUAAUGAGGAUGUUUGAUCAUUACUUGGCUGAUUAUGUCAUCCUACAACUGCCCUUGAAGUUAGAGCUGCUGGUUGUGCAUAUGCCUUGGCAUCCUAGAUCCAAGGUGGGGUGAGCUACACUGAGGAUCCCAAAAUUGUCCAGGAAAUGACAAAAAUUAUGCCUGGGUUCAAGGCGAGAUUCCUGCCAAUUCAAGGAAGGGCAUUCCUUAUGUUGGUGGAAAGCAAAACAACUCGAGUAAAAUUUGGUCCAGAUAGGUGCAAAUACUUGGCUGUGGGAUCAAUGGAACGGAACCUCCACAUAUUUGGCCUCCCUGGGGAUGAUGGUCCAAUAGAGUCGUAAAAACACCUUCAGCUCAACCUUAUUCCGGAAACAACCCUCACAGAAUUUCCUGCAGCUAUUGGGUCAAGUGUAUUUUACAGGCUUCGAGUAAUGGUGGAAUUUUGAGCUUUAUCAUAUUUAAUCCUUUGGUGUUGACUGGAUGCUCCAAUUCUAAUCCGUUAAGAAUUCUUCAGCAAUCAUCCCUAGGCCCAGCGAGCUAUUGCGCCUGAUGAUUUACCAAAAGAGAACUGCACAAUGUCUUCAUUGGAUCCAAAUGUUUUACCAACUCCUACAGAUAGAAAGUCUCCUGGGGGAAAAAGGUUGAGCGGCUCUACUAGAUACUCCAGGCAUCCAACUAUGAUGAUUUACUCUACUAUCAAGAAUUAUGCCGUGUCCAUAAUGCUGAUGAGUUCUCAACCGACAUUGGUUCAGAAUUAGAAGAAGCUACCAGAAAUCAUUCUCUGCUUGAUGGAUAUCAUCUUCAGCCGUCCUUCAGAAGAUGGUACCAUUCCAUUGAAUAUCAUUGCAGAGGGCACCAAACUUUCCGUAGAGGAUGUGGAAUAUCUUCUCAUGGAGAGCCUUUCUGACUACAGCAAGGUGGCACAAAGGCUCAAUGCCUUGCGCAAGGAGAUGACUUGGUGAGCCAUGGACGCAAUACCAUGGUAGGUGUAGCACCAAGAGAGAGACUCGAAUAGGGCACAUCAAUGUAAAAAGUCCAAGUAGGACAUCAAAGCUUGCUAUUCAUAACAGUCCAAUGACACCUCCAUCUCCAAUUCCUAGACUAUUUUAGAAGUAAAAAUUAAUCACCAUUCUAAAGAACUUCUCGUGUGACAAAUGUUAUAUUUUACGUGAUCUAUAAAUGUGAUUCAUGUAGUUACGUUGGAAAUAUAUUUCAUGAAGCUUUAAUGGGAUUUGUUAAUGUGUUCUUCUAAUAAAUCAUUUCAUGAAAUUUCAAUUA